rnacentral:rRNA from 1 species
UACGUAGGGUGCGAGCGUUGUCCGGAAUUACUGGGCGUAAAGAGCUCGUAGGUGGUUUGUCGCGUUGUUCGUGAAAACUCACAGCUUAACUGUGGGCGUGCGGGCGAUACGGGCAGACUGGAGUACUGCAGGGGAGACUGGAAUUCCUGGUGUAGCGGUGGAAUGCGCAGAUAUCAGGAGGAACACCGGUGGCGAAGGCGGGAUCUCUGGGCAGUAACUGACGCUGAGGAGCGAAAGCGUGGGGAGCGAACAGG